UAAAGCGUUAAGGGAAAGCCUAAACAUCAAACUUGAAAAUUACGGACGUUUAACGACGAAACAUUAUAACGAGUAUUAUUUUACUGAGAGUUAUAAAUCUCCGUGUCAGAAAACUGAACUUUUUAUUUAAGUUUUUUAUUUUCGGCGCGAAAGCGCAGAAUGUAAAAUAAAAUAACUCAGUGAACUGAAACAUCUAAGUAACUGAGACAAAAAUCAAUCGAGAAGUCGUAAGUAGUGGUGAACGAAAAUGACCUAGACUAUUUUCCAAUUUCAAAUGGGAAUUAUUUAAUAUUAUGCAGCCAAAGAAGGAAACAUUUAUAUGUAGCCCUGUAAAAUAACACCUAUUUUAAAUAUAUUUUUAGUAAAAUGGUACAAGUCGUGUGCUGUUUAAAUAAUGGGGGACCACCCUCAAGUCUAUAAAGUUUAGAUGAUUGAUAGUGAAUUAGUACCGUAAGGGAAAGGUGAAAAUAGAAUUUCAUUUUGAAAAAGUGAAAAAGCGAUUCUGAAACUUAACGCUGGCAAGCAGUUGAAGCUUUGUAAUAAACCAAAAGUGACAGCGUACCUUUUGCAUAAUGGAUCAACGAGUUUAUUUAAGAGGCAAGCUUAAAUUUUUUAAUGUAGGCGAAAAUAAAUUAAGUUUUAAAUUGCUUUUAAGUCUCUUAAGUAAGACCCGAAACUAGGUGAUCUAACCAUGAACAGGUUGAAUCUAUAACGGUAACGUUAUUUGGAGGACCGAACUCGUGUAUGUGGAAAAAUACUGAGAUGAUUUGUGGUUAGGAGUGAAAGGCUAAACAAACCUAGAGAUAGCUGGUUUUCUGCGAAAUCUAUUUAAGUAGAGUGAUUAAAAACUUUAUUUUGUGGUAGAGCACUCGAUAAAUGAAGGGAAUGUAAAAUUUUACUGAAUUUAAUGAAACUCCGAAUACAAAAUAAAAGAAUUUAAUUAAACAGACUAUGAAUGCUAAGAUUCUUAGUCAAGAGGGAAACAGCCCAGAUUAUUCGUUAAGGCCCUCAAAAGUAAUUAAGUGAAAAAAUUGUGAGAAAAUUAAGACAAUCGGUAGGUAGGCUUGGAAGCAGCCAUCCUUUAAAGAAAGCGUAACAGCUCACUGGUUUAGUUUUCUUGCGGUGAAAAUGUAUAGGGACUCAAAUUACUUGCCGAAACGGUAAAUUUAUAUUAAAAUUAAAUGGUAGCAGAACGUUCUGUAAUUCAAAGAAAAUUUAUGGUGACAUAAAUUGGAGAAAUCAGAAGUGAAAAUGUUGAUAUGAGUAGCGAAAAACAGUGUAAAAUAAACAUUGUCGCCUUAAGUUCAAGGUUUCCAAAGGAAGGCUAAACCUCUUUGGGUAAAUCGGUCCCUAAGAAUAAGACGAAAGUCAUUUAUUGAUUUAAUGGGUUAACAAGUUAUUUUUCUUGUAUUUGAAAACACGUGACAAAGUAUAAAGAUUAUUUUUAUUUUAUGGUAAUUAAAUAAAAGUUUUUUAAUAUUUUCUGGAAAAAGCGUUCAAAAAAACCGUACUGUAAACCGACACAGGUGAACAAAUUUAGAAAAUUAAGGCGCUUGAGCGAAUUGUAUUGAAGGAACUCGGCAAAAUAACUCCGUAACUUCGGGAGAAGGAGUAGCUUUCGAAGGGCAACCUUUGAAAAGCUGGCACAAAAUUGGGAACAGCGACUGGUUAAUAAAACCACAGGUCUCUGCAAAUUCGAAAGAAGAAGUAUAGAGAUUGACGCCUGCCCGGUGCUGCAAGAAUAAUAGAAAAAGUUUAGGCUUCGACUAUAAACCCCAGUAAACGGCGGCUGUAUUUCUGACGGUCCAAAGGUAGCGAAAUUCCUUGGCAUUUAAUUGAUGUCCUGCAUGAAUGGCGUAACGACUGUUCUACUGUCUCCAAUACAACCUCAGUGAAAUUGAAUUCUCUGUGAAGAUGCAGAGUUCCUACGGCUAGACGGAAAGACCCCGUGCACCUUUACUAUAGUUAUGUACUGUAAUGAAAAAUUUUAUGUGUAGAAUAUGUGGAAAGUUAUUAAUAGAUUUUUACGCAAGUAAAUUAUUUAAAUUCUUCUGAAAUACCACUCUUAAAAUUUUUCAUUACUCAUUUUUUAAGACACUGCAUAAUGGGUAGUUUGACUGGGGCGGUCGCCUCCUAAAGAGUAACGGAGGCGCACAAAGGUAAGUUCAAAUUAAAACACAUUAAUUGUAGAGCGUAAUAGUAUAUUGCUUGCCUGACUGUAAGAUUCACAUAUCAAGCAGGGACGAAAGUCGGUUAUAGUGAUCCGGUGAUUCUGUGUGGAAAAGAUCAUCGCUCAACGGAUAAAAGGUACGCCGGGGAUAACAGGCUUAUCACUCUCUAGAGACCUUAUCGACGGAGUGGUUUGGCACCUCGAUGUUGGAUUAUCGCAUCCUGGAGUUGUAAGUGGCUCCAAGGGUCUGGCUGUUCGCCAAGUAAAGCGGUACAUGAUCUGAGUUUAGAACGUCGUGAGACAGUUUGGUCCCUAUCUACCGUAGGCAGUAAAAAAUUGAGAAGAGUAAACCCUAGUACGAGAGGACCGGGAAAAAUAAACCUAUGGUGUAUCGAUUGUUAAACCAUUAGCAUAGUCGAGUAGCUACGUUUAUAAUAGAUAAUCGCUGAAAGCAUCUAAGCGAGAAACUAACUUCAAGAUUUAUUUUUUUAAAAAUGUAAUAGAUAAUUACUUUGAUAGGCUUAGUGUAUAAGGAUUGUAAAAUUUUAAAGCUAAUAAGUACUAAUUUUUU
rnacentral:rRNA from 1 species